CGCUGGAAAUAGUAUUCAGUUUGUUGCUGGAGCGUUUCCCCUCAAUUUUAAUUAUACAAGGACAUGAGCUCGAAUAUGUUGAGCUGAGUAAUUCCGCCCAAUCAUAAGCAUUAUAGCUUUAUGUCUUACUUACACAAAUUACAUUAUUCUUCAAACAAAGGAAAUUGAAUUUGUGAUAUCUCUAGCUAUUGUUCAUGUUGGGUUCGGGAUCACCUACUAGUAUUAUUUUUAUUUUUAUUAUAUAGAAAUGAACAAGGUGUACGAACACCGCAUCAAAAAGUUAUACAGAAAGCAAUAAAAAUUGUACAGUAAACUUGGGUGACACGUGUUGUUAAAUGUGCGACACCUUGCUUGGAACCCAUUUUCUUUUCUACAGUUUCUCGCUUUAAUUUCUCUCUCUGUCAUACUUCUCUUUUCUCCUCUUUCUCAAUUUUUAGUUGGGUUGCUUUUCUUUUGCUGUACUUUCUUUGUUUGUAAUCGCCAUUUCUUUUGGGUCUAUUAUACAAACUUUUUACUGCAUUAUGCACCUAAGAUGUUUGAUAGUAUGCCAAAGUAACUGAACAAUAUUCUAUUUCUUUGUUUUUUUCACAGAUUUUCUACAAAAUGCUCCUCUGUCAGUCAACAAUCCAAAGGGUUCUGCAGCUACAAAUACAAAUGAUUCCUUCUCUAUCUUUGAUGUAGGUAGAUGUGAUUCAGAAAUUCUCCAAUUCCAGUAGUUUCUACAAAUAGAGGUAUGUAUCUAUCUAAUGUAAAGUUUUUUAGAAUUAAACCAAAUUGUAAAAAUUACUUAACAAAAUAAAAAAUUGCUUGGAACUGGAGUGUCAACAAGCAAAGACACUGGAUUGCAUAGAUUACGGUAUACUGAGGAACAACGACUUGCUGAUAGAAAUAUGUGACGUCGUAUUAGAUAUGCACAAAUGUCGUCGGAGAUCGUCAGAGAGAAAACAAUCAUUUUAUUGCAACUGCAAGCUAAAAGAGCUAACUUAAAAAGCCAGCGACUUUCUCAUCAUACCAGUAAUGUACUAAUUUCUAGGUAUGUAAUAUUUUAGAUUCCAAAUGAAGUUCAUUUGUAUAUGAAUAUUUGGCAUCUUUUUGGGUCUUCAUUAAGCAUUCAUGUGGCCUCUUUCACAAAGUAAAUUAUGUUGCUUAACAAGAGCUGCUCAACUUCAUACCAAUUGCUUAGGAUGCUGUGCUGCUUGUCUUAUUUUAUUCCAACAGAGGUAAGGGAGUUAAGUGAGUUAUGUCAUUUUUGUUUUUCAAAUGAACUUAGGUUACUUUACACUUUCAUUUUUAUUUUUAUGUUGUCUUUCUUCUUUACCAAGUUCCACUUCUUGCCGAGUUUGACCAGAUAAAAGGUUAUCAUAUAGUUGUACUACUGUGUCACAUUUACCUUUUUUCGGUUAGUUUGGUCUAAAAAGAUUUUCCCUCAAGUGUUUCCAUGGUACUAAAUGUUUAGUAGAAAAGAUUGUCGUUCUUGAAGGCACUGUAGGAGGAAUGGUUUUAAACAUUUAUUCGGUUCAAUAUAUCAAAAAUAUCAUGUUUGCCAUGAUAGUUCACUUCUACUUCUCAAUUUAGAACAUAAUUUCAUAAUUUAGUGCAGUAUCAAGACAGUUUUCAUAAUUUAUUGAUUUUGGUCGUUUUUGCUUCUGAAGCCUUAGGUUGUUAAUCUAUUGUAAAAGGGCAGCCCGUGCACUAAGCUCCCGCUAUGUGCGGGGUCCGGAAAAGGAUCGGACGUGAUGAUCAGUUAUUAAGGUUCCAAUCUCAAUAUUGAGGGCAGAAAUCGACCAAGAUGUCAUCAGAGAGAGAUUGUCAAGCAAUUCGAGAUGGUCUUAAAUGUUAAGCUGGAGGUAGGAAGUUUUACAUGCUUAUGCUUUUCACAAAUUACACUUGUCAAUGUUACUUUAAAACCUCUCUAUUGGUGAUCAUAAGCUGCAUGUAGUCCAAUUUCAGUCACCACAUCACUAAUCCCUGUUUAAAACUUUCAUGAACUUGAAAGAAGCGGAAUCAGUAAUUUGCUUACUUAUGUAUAUAUUAGAAAAAAAUAUUAAUAGUGAAAGAUUAUAAUAGCCUUAAUUUCGAGUUCCAAAAAAGAGCAAAGAUUUUACUAAUAGCUUUUCUUAAAGUUUAUGCUUGAAAGAGUAAAUUGUUCUCUUUUCUAUUUUAUGUAUAUUAUUAUUAGCAGUAAGUUGACUGGCAUCAUGUUUGCAUUGUUACUGUAUUCUCAUUAGCUACAAAUAAGGUCUCAUUGGGUUUCGCAACAAUGGUGUGUCUUACUACUCCUUUGUUUACUAUAGUACCGGGUCUAUGUACUGUCUAUCGCGUUUGCUUUGCAUCUACUUUCUCAUUUCCAUGAUGUUAUUUUUCCUAUGGUUUCUAUUGGUGAUACUGAUAUUGUCUCUUUUUGUCUUCUUGAGCCGAGAGUCUUUCAGAAACAGCGUCUCUACUCAUUCGGGGUAGGGGUAAGGUUUGCGUACACACUACCCUCUCCAGAAUCCACUAGUGGGAUUUCACUGGGUCGUCGUUGUUGUUGUUUGGGUUUCGCAACAAAAAUGUAGAUGCCUCAACUUUGACCGCCAUGCGUACCUCUUGGGUAUUGUCUGUCUUCACGGACAAUAUAUAAUUACUUUUGGGAGAAAAAGAGUUAGCUGCUUCACAACAUACCAAAGACUGAAAAACACCUUUUACAAGGACGGGGUGAUAUUAUAUCAUUUACAACUUUUUUACAGGUUGGUCACUUGAAAAUGUUAGUCGUCGUAACUCAAGUAUUACUUCACUCUAAACCAUGUGUUGCAGCAGCACCAUCAGGUCUUCCGUCAAGGUAUUAAAUGGUUCAUACAUUGUUGAGUCGAACAAGGUAUGCAAUAACAACCUACAAAACUAGACAACUUGAUCACAAACUGGGCAACUGUGAAGUACAACAGGCAGAUGAGGAGACAACCUUACAGUAACAAGCAACAAGUUAAAAAAUAUGCAACUGAAGCUUUGGAUUACUUGUUGUUUGGUUACAAUUCUUAUGUCAUUUCUUUGCACAUAUUGGUGAGAAAACAAACAUAUUAUUCUUAUAUAAAACUCUUUUGAUUAUGAUUACUUAUUUUGACUU